rnacentral:rRNA from 1 species
UACGGAGGGUGCAAGCGUUGUCCGGAAUCACUGGGCGUAAAGGGCGCGUAGGCGGUUCCUUAAGCGGGUGGUGAAAGCUCAGGGCUCAACUCUGAGUCGGCCAUGCGAACUGGGGGACUCGAGCACUGUAGAGGCAGGUGGAAUUCCGGGUGUAGCGGUGGAAUGCGUAGAGAUCCGGAAGAACACCGGUGGCGAAGGCGGCUACCUGGCCCAAUACUGACACUCAGGUGCGACAGCGUGGGGAGCAAACAGG